AGUGAACGCUGGCGGUAGGCCUAACACAUGCAAGUCGAACGGCAGCACAGUAAGAGCUUGCUCUUACGGGUGGCGAGUGGCGGACGGGUGAGGAAUACAUCGGAAUCUACUUUUUCGUGGGGGAUAACGUAGGGAAACUUACGCUAAUACCGCAUACGACCUACGGGUGAAAGCAGGGGAUCUUCGGACCUUGCGCGAUUGAAUGAGCCGAUGUCGGAUUAGCUAGUUGGCGGGGUAAAGGCCCACCAAGGCGACGAUCCGUAGCUGGUCUGAGAGGAUGAUCAGCCACACUGGAACUGAGACACGGUCCAGACUCCUACGGGAGGCAGCAGUGGGGAAUAUUGGACAAUGGGCGCAAGCCUGAUCCAGCCAGACCGCGUGGGUGAAGAAGGCCUUCGGGUCGUAAAGCCCUUUUGUUGGGAAAGAAAAGCAGCAGGUUAAUACCCCGCUGUUCUGACGGUACCCAAAGAAUAAGCACCGGCUAACUUCGUG
rnacentral:rRNA from 1 species